rnacentral:rRNA from 1 species
UACAGAGGGUGCAAGCGUUGUUCGGAGUUAUUGGGCGUAAAGCGCGCGCAGGCGGCCUCGCGCGCCCGACGUGAAAGCCCCCGGCUUAACCGGGGAGGGUCGUUGGGGACGGCGGGGCUUGAGGGCGGGAGAGGGUGGUGGAAUUCCCGGUGUAGUGGUGAAAUGCGUAGAGAUCCGGAGGAACACCAGUGGCGAAGGCGGCCCCCUGGGCCGCGCCUGACGCUGAGACGCGAAAGCGCGGGGAGCGAACGGG